rnacentral:rRNA from 1 species
GACAGAGGUGCCGAGCGUUAGGCGGAAUCACUGGGCUUAAAGCGUGUGUAGGCGGACCGUUAAGUGUCUUGUGAAAUCCCCCGGCUCAACCGGGGAAUUGCUGGGCAUACUGGCGGUCUUGAGCAGUCUAGGGGCAGAUGGAACAAGUGGUGGAGCGGUGAAAUGCGUAGAUAUCACUUGGAACGCCAAAGGUGAAGACAGUCUGCUGGGGACUUGCUGACGCUGAGACACGAAAGCCAGGGGAGCGAGCGGG